rnacentral:rRNA from 1 species
UACGGAGGGUCCGAGCGUUAAUCGGAAUUACUGGGCGUAAAGCGCGCGUAGGCGGUUUGUUAAGUCGGAUGUGAAAUCCCCGGGCUCAACCUGGGAACUGCACCCGAUACUGAUCGACUUGAGUGCGAGAGAGGGAGGUAGAAUUCCAUGUGUAGCGGUGAAAUGCGUAGAUAUAUGGAGGAAUACCGGUGGCGAAGGCGGCCUCCUGGCUCGACACUGACGCUGAGGUGCGAAAGCGUGGGUAGCAAACAGG